UCUCGCCAACUUGGAACGUCAAGUUGAACUGGCACGAGAGAGUAGUGCUUUGGGUGCUUCGCCAGGGAAUCAUACCACGGCAUGCUGCAAUCGCGCCUGACGGUAACCGGCGCUUCGCCAAGAAAAAUGGACUCAACCUGAGCCAAGUUUACGCUAUCUUGCUUCAAAACAUUGCACGGAGACAUCUUCAGUCGGCAAAACUUCAAAGUCAGCACAGCAGGAAAUCUUGACCUGGUAUGCAAGGAUUUGCGACAAAAUAUGGCACGAAUUGAGACCAACACCAUUGCCGAAAACAGAACAAAGAAGCUGAGAUUAGGCAUAGCUUACAGCAGUAAGUUCGACCUGAAGAAUAUGGUGAGUGAUUUCGCCAAUGCCGUCAAAGCAGAUGUCAUUGAAUCAGAGUAAGUGUACGCACAAGCCUUUUUCAUAUGUUUUUCCACAGCACGCUUUGUCAUCCGUACAUCAUUCCACCGGCCCACGUAUUUCACCGCACUUAUCAUUCACUUCAAGUUGCCCAGCCAUGAAUUAAGACGACCAUAUUUUCUAUGUCCUGCUUUGUACGGACAGUAGAAUACUGGAAUGACAUUCCUCGUGAUUUUGUCAUCGCUGAGUGCCCAACAUCGUUUUUUGAUCAAUUAUGUGCCCAUAUUUCAAGAUUUAUUAUUUUUUAAAUUUGAACACACUGCAGGCUUUUCACGGCCAAUGCAGUAGUGGAGAG